rnacentral:rRNA from 1 species
CAGUUCAGAUUGCAGGCUGCAACCCGCCCUGCAUGAAGUCGGAAUUGCUAGUAAUCGCGGAUCAGCAUGCCGCGGUGAAUACGUUCCCGGGCCUUGUACACACCGCCCGUCACACCAUGAGAGUUGGGAAUACCCGAAGCCUGUGAGCUAACUUUUAGAGGCAGCAGUCGAAGGUAGAAUCAAUGAUUGGGGUGAAGUCGUAACAAGGUAUC